AGAUCGACAAUAUUUAAAGAGAGAAAGUGAAGCUCGUUUCAGUGAGAAAUGGAAAAAAAUCUGUAGAAAUUAAAUUACCGCCAUUGAUUUGAAGUCAUUUGGUACAGUAACCGACCUUAGCUCAGUUGUAGAGCGGAGGACUGUAGUCGUGCCAGCAGGGUACAGGAACCGACCUUAGCUCAGUUGGUAGAGCGGAGGACUGUAGUCGUGCCAGCAGGUAAUCCUUAGGUCGCUGGUUCGAAUCCGGCAGGUCGGAAUUUUGGUUGCUUCUGAUUUUUGUUGUACUUUUUUGUUAUGGUUGCUCCUUGGCCUGGUCUAUGAUGCUUCCUCCGUCUUUUAAUACUCGCAAUGUUGAGAUGUGCACAAGAACAAGGAGGGGAGAGAAAUAGAGAGAGCUAAAAAGAAUCCCCGUGUGUUAGAGAGAGAAAGUGAUAAUAUAUUAGAAAAAAUGUCAACGUUGUAAGUAAUAGAGAACUUCCUAAAAUGGGAUAUGUUGCAAGUAUUAAAAAAACAGAGGAAGUAUAUUAUUAAGAACGGAGCCAGGUAAUAUAAUGUCUUAGCUGUAUGGGUGUAGCUGGUAUGUAAUAGAUUUGCGGGAGGACUGUAGUUGUGCAAACAGUAAUCCUUAGGUAUUUUGUUUUCUUAGGACCGAUGUUCUCUAAUUUGCCACAGUUGACCUUUUAUUAAUUGUCAUGGCAUAUUAUUAACCCUUGUGAGGCAAAAUUGGCAGAUAAUAACCCAGCCAAAUGGAAAUAUGUCUGAAUGUAUGGACUGCCUGUAACAAGCGUAAAAGAACCGACCUUAGCUCAGCUGGUAGAGCGGAGGACUGUAGUUAGUCAAACAGAUAAUCCUUAGGUCGCUGGUUGGAAUCCGGCAGGUCGGAUUUUUUUAUAUUUGGUUCCUUUGAUAAUUGUCUUACUAGGCUGGAUUGCUGUCUGAUCUAGCAGUGUUGACUUUGUAAUAAGUAUAUUAUUGAGUGCUACAUUCUAGAAUAUUAUGAAUAAACUUGUGUUGUUUAUAAUGUAUUCGCUGCAUCCAGGUACAGUAACCGACCUUAGCUCAGUUGGUAGAGCGGAGGACUGUAGUUGUGCCAGCAGGUAAUCCUUAGGUCGCUGGUUCGAAUCCGGCAGGUCGGAAUUUUGUUGCUUCUGAUUUUUGUUGUACUUUUUGUUAUGAUUGCUCCUUGGCCUGGUCUAUAAUACUUCCUCCGUUCUAAUACUCGCAAUGUUAAGAUGUGCACAAGGACCAAGGAGAGGAGAGAAAUAGAGAGAGCUAAAAAGAAUCCCCAUGUCUUAGGAGAGAGAAAGUGAUAAUAUAUUGACAAAAAUGUCAAAAGUAAUCGAGAACUUCCUAAAAUGGGAUAUGUUGCAAGUAUUAAAAAACUGAGGAAGUAUAAUGGAGCCACAUAAGAUAAUGUCUUAGCUGUAAAUGGUUGUAUGCUGGUAUGUAACAGAUUUGCGGGAGGACUGUAGUUGUGCAAGCAGUACUCCUUAGGACUUGGUUCGAUUCUGGCAGGUGAAAGUUUUGAAAUUUUGAUGCUUUAUUAUUUUGUUUUCUUAGGACCGAUGCUCUCUAAUUGGCCACAGUUGACCUUUAUUAAUCGUCAUGGCAUAUUAUCAACUCCUGUGAGGCAAAAUUGGCAGAUAAUAACCCAGCCAAAUGGAAAUCUUUUUGAAUGUUGUGGAUUGCCCACAGCAAGGGUACAAGAACCGACCUUAGCUCAGUUGGUAGAGCGGAGGACUGUAGUUGGUCAAACAGAUGAUCCUUAGGUCGCUGGUUCGAAUCCGGCAGGUCGGACAUUUUCAUUUUAUGCCUCUGAUAUUUUGUCUUACUUGGCCUGAUAGGUGUCCGAUCUAGCAAUGUUGACUUCUGUGAUAAGUAUAUUAUUGACUGCUAUGCAGCCAUUUGAAAAUAUCAUGAAUGUACUUAUGUUGUUUAUAAUGAAUUCGCUACAUCCAGGGUACAGAAACCGACCUUAGCUCAGUUGGUAGAGCGGAGGACUGUAGUUGUCCCAGCAGAGAAUCCUUAGGUCGCUGGUUCGAAUCCGGCAGGUCGGAGUUUUGUUGCUCUGAUUUUUGUGAUACUCCUAUUAGUCCUGAUUGCUCCUUGACCUGAUAUAUUAUUGAGAAUGGAGCCAUGUUACUCCCUCCAUUUUGAAAAGUUCUUCCUAGUUGACCAAUUUCCUUUCUCUUAUGAAGAAAAAGAAAAAGAGGGAGUAACAUGCGUCUGUGUCUUAGCUAUAUGGGUGUAUGCUGGUAAAUGGAUACCUUUUAGGGUAUGAGAACCGACCUUAGCUCAGCUGGCAGAGUGGAGGACUGUAUUGUUCAAAUAGUAAUCCUUAGGUUGCUGGUUCAAAUCUGACAGGUCGGACAUUUGAAGUUUUAUUGCUUCUUAAUUUGUUUUCUUAGGAAUGUUCUCUAAUCUGCCACUGCUGACCUUUGUAAAUUAUCAUGGCAUGUUUUAUAUUGUUGUGAAGCAAAGUAACCAGUUUAUAGCACACCAAAAAAGGGGAUGUUUAGACUAUUGGAUUGUCGAUAGUCAGGGUACAAGAACCAACCUUAGCGUUCAGUUGGUAGAGUGGAGCUGAGGACUGUAGUUGGUCAAACAGAUGAUCAUAUGGUCGCUAGUUCGAAUUUGGCAGGUUGGAAAUUUUCUUGUAUUGAUCUCCAGGUGGGCUGUUUUGUAGCUUCCAACAUGAUUUUUUUCCGAAAGAUCAAUAGUCUCUGGCUAUGAUUGUAGAAGGCAUGUAUGCUCGCUUAGUCUAUGAGACUAUUAUUUCACUGUUAAUCUGGUUGAUGCUUGUUAUCUCUGCAUCGUCUUGGGGUUUGAUGUGGAAUUAGGUACUAAUUAAUUUUUCUUACCAAAUCGCGCCAAGACAUGACCCUGAACUCUUUUUGAUGUUAUUGUUCUUUUUUCAAGCAUGUGAUUAUAAGUUUGUGAUUUUUCUUUUGUCUAUUUUGAUGCCUCGGAUCUUUCUACUAUUCAAUUAAGAAUUAUCUCUAGACUUCAUUAAAUAGCUUAGUUUCUCAGGAUUUAUCCUGGAAUUAGUCCUCAAUUUACAGCUUCUUGUUUUUCUUACAUGCUGAAGAUGAUGUUCUCCCGUCUGACAACAUGGACUUCAGCAUAAGAGUUUGCUGAGGAUUUUGUAGUGAAAUUAUAAUUACUAACAUCCCACAGCCUACGCAAAUCGGAGAUUAAUGGAAUGUAAUGGAUUACUCCAUGGUAACUGAUGCAAGAACUGACCUUAGCCAAGAUGAUAGAGCAGAAACUGUACAUUUGGCUGUAUAUACAAAACAUUUUAGGCUCUGGGUGGUACGUGGACAUUCUUUUAUUGCUGAUGCUGGGACACACCUUUGUUUCACAAGUUGUUCACCUGCUGAGGAUGUUGAGAAGUAAAAUUAAAAAAAUGCUCUCGUUGAGAAUCGAACUCAAGACCUCCCGCUUACUAAACGGGUGCUCUAACCAACUGAGCUACGAGAGCAACUAAAGACAUCCUUUUAUAUAUGACUUCUGGAUGGUAAUUACUUAGAUAUUGCUGUUUAGUUUGCACCAUUUUUUCAACAACACCGAAUAAUAAUGGUAAGUUGCAUCUCUUUCUGUUAUCAGCUAUAGAGCAGCUGCAUACACAUAUGACCUUCAUGUGUAUGAUAAUAUCUUUGUUCCCAAUUGUAAGAAUGAUUUAGCUUGGUAUGAUUAUCAUCUACUCUUUGUUAUUGCAAUGUGAUCGUAUGCGACAUUCUUUUAAUUAUUCACCAUCUUGAUUUUCCUUUACCACAAAAUCUACUUUUUGUUAUGUUCUUGAAUGAUGAUCAAUAGUUACUCCUUAAUAUAUGUGACUUAACUGUAGAAAAUUUACUUUUAGUUCAGGGUUUGUGUUGACACUAUGACAUCAAAUUCUUAUCUUCAUGUGUUUUCACUAGUUUUUUCUAUGUUGGGUUGCUUUUGUUUUGUAAGAAGGAUGAACUUUUUGAUGCAGAGAGUUGGUUUGUUGCUGGUUAACUUUUGCUUUUUAAUGCAACUGUGGUGCAGUUGAUUAUCAUGUUAGUCCAAAAUGAGAGCACAGCAGUCUGCCAAGGAGGGAUGUAGAAAAAUAAUACACAAAAGAUGCUCUCGUUGAGAGUCGAACUCAAGACCUCCCGCUUACUAAACGGGUGCUCUAACCAACUGAGCUACAAGAGCACAUUAUGUCAUUUUAAUUUCAUUUGACACUCUGGGCGGAAAGAAUUUUACCCUUCACUUCAGUUGUCAGUUUUUUUUUAUAUACUUCGUCUGUCUUUUUUUUUACUUGCAACACUUUUUUUUUUUUCAUCAACUCCAAUGCAAAAAUUUGGGUAGGAGAGAGGUAGAGACAGGGAACAAAAACUCGGCCGUUCCGUUCUGGAACGGCCGCUUUGUAACGGAUUUCAGAGAGGCCGUUCCGUUAAAUACCGUUCUAGAACGGUGAUUUGGAAUUCACACCAAACUCGGCGCGAUGGCGUUACGUAACGGUGUAACGGCGUUCCAGAACCGUUACAAUCACGUAAUGUCCGUUAUUUGAAGAAGACCAGUUCUUUUGGUCGAGGAAGAAGAAGAGCCAACGCAAGAUCUAUAGAUCUGAGUUAAAAUUUGAAAGUAAAACAUGUUUUUUUAUUAAAAUUAAAGCUUACCGAGGAUGUAGAACUCAAAUUUGAGUAAAACCCCUCCUUUAAUUUCAUUAGGUUACUGCUAAUCGAACACUAAAUUGCAAACCCUAAUUUCGAAAAAACCCUAAUAUGCAUUGGGAUGCAACGCUGCUUCUUCGGUCAUGGCAGAGAAGGUCGACGAGUCAUCUUCGGCGGCUUCUAGCACUGUAGCUUCCGGUGGUUGGCUUGUUUGCAGGUUAGUGCUUGCUGGUUUUCUUUCUUUUAUACCGAUCAUCUUCUUCUUUUCUCUCUUCUCUUUUUCUUUUUUAUUUUGUGACUGCCAGUCACGUGAUAAUUGCAACUCAUAUAGGAACUCUUUCUCUCUCUUCUUUUCAUCCCUUUUUAUUUUUUCUUUCCCUUUUAGUUUUUAUUCCCUCACGUGGAAUCACCCAUUUUCAUCCUUUUUUAAUUUUUUUUAAUGACAAUCUUACACAUAAGUAUGUUCAAAUAUCAUCAUAGUACCUCAAAUAUUGUAUUUAUAAGAGUUCUGGACAUAAUAUGAUAUAGAAAGUAAAAUAGAAGAAAAACAAAGUUUAAAUGUCACUUGUGUGAUUUUUUUUUUAAAAUUCACGCCGCGACGGCCGCGAAACGUUCUAUUUCCCCGUUACAAGCCGUUCCCGCGAUAACGCGACCGUUCCCGCGAACGCGACCGCGUUUUUUUUCUAUGGGUAGAGAGGAAAAAAAGAGAGGGUCCCAUGUGAUUGGAGAGAGAUACAUAGAAAGGAAAAGCAAAAGUGGAAAGUGUUGCAAGUAAUUAAUUAUUUCCCUUUUAGGAAAGUGUCGCAAGUAAAAAAAACGGAGGAAGUAUAUCCUUUGCAUUUGUUUUCUGUCACUUACUUACAGGUUUUUGUUUCUGUUGUCACUUGUCACCUAAAACAGGUCCAGCCGGGUGAUCCCCGGUAUUGUCUCGGUACCGAAGACCCUGUAUUCGGAAAUGCUUGAGCAGUCGGCUUACAUGCAAUCGACGGGAAGAUUGUCAAUGGUCGGAAGUCGGAACCUUAAUGGAUGUUAUGAAUGCAAAGUCUCAAAGAACACAUCAGUUUAUUACUUCCUCCAUUCCAAUAUGAACUUCACACUUGCCUUUUCAAGGUCAAAGUUCACAGGUGAUGCUGUGAUAUUAAAAGUACUCACAGUAAGCAUCCUUCAUGCUUAGUUAUCUGAUCUAAGCUCACAAGCCUUCGUAAUGUCUGUUUCCCUACUGCUGGAAUCUGGAUAAACGAUGUUACUGUCGGACCUCAGCUGUGUAACUACGAGUUCAACACCAACAAUCAUAUAAACAUUUGUAGCUAGAGCCUAGAGGGCUCAAAUAUGUGUGGUCACGUAUAUCGUAGAUGUUCAGUGCCACCUCUACACUCAAACAAGUACUAUGAAAUCAAUAUGAGUCUAGCCAAUACUAUGGUUAGACGCACGUAUUUAUCCUUACUCGUUGUCUCAGAGAAGCAAAUGAUAUGUUCAAUAUGCAUAAUGUAAGUACCUAAUCUCACUACUAACCUUUGGCAAAAACAUUC